rnacentral:rRNA from 1 species
GACGAACGCUGGCGGCGUGCUUAACACAUGCAAGUCGAACGAAGUGGCGAACGGGUGAGUAACGCGUAAUCAACCUGCCCUUCAGAGGGGGACAACAGUUGGAAACUACUGCUAAUACCCCAUACUGAAGGAGGGGAUUGCGUCUGAUUAGCUGGUUGGGGGGGUAACGGCCCACCAAGGCUAUGAUCAGUAGCCGGUCUGAGAGGAUGAACGGCCACAUUGGGACUGAGACACGGCCCAGACUCCUACGGGAGGCAGCAGUGGGGAAUUCUUCGGAAUGGACGAAAGGCUGACGGAGCAACGCCGCGGGAGGGAUGAAGGCCUUCGGGUUGUAAAGCUCUGUUAAUCGGGACGCGGUACCGGAAUAGAAAGCCACGGCUAACUACGUGCCAGCAGCCGCGGUAAUAC